GCCUAUCUGGCUCAGUCGAUAGAGCAUACGACUCUUGAUCUUGGGUUGUGAGUUUAAGUCCCACGUUGGGGG
rnacentral:tRNA from 1 species